GAAAUCAGUAAAUUUAAGCAAUUUUAUUUUUCAUUCUGUGCUUCAGGGAACUACGACGGUCAACACAUAUUUAUCACACGCUGACCUUGUGCUAAGGUCUAUAGGAAAAUAAACCUCCCUGCCCGCAAUGACCUUAGAACCUAACUAAGGAUAUGGUUAAAACAAGCGCAGGAUUGGGUGAGACCCGCUCAAGGGUCAGGCGCUGGUUUGUUGGGGAGAAAUGUUGCCCAGGCAGGACAGGUGUGAAAGAAAGGGAGGAUCCUGCAAGACCGGAGGGCCCAGGAAAGUCUCAGUGAGGAGGGGGGACUUAAAGGAGAGUUUCAGGAUUGACCAUGGGUGGACAGGGCUCUACAGACCGGGAUCUUUUCUAUCCACACUUGGGGCCAGAAAGUUCUCUGUGAUGGCGGCUGUCCUGUACAAUGCAGGAGGCUCAGAGCAUCCCUGGCCUCCACCCACUCAAUGCCAGUAGCACUCCCUCCCUAGCUGUAAAUGUGUGCAGACAUUAGUACUUGUCACCUGCAGGGAAGAAUCACCCCACUGAGAACCACAUGCUGAGUCAAGGCAACAGCAUAGGAAUUGGAGCAAGCAAGAGAGCUGGUCAACACAGAGAGAUGAGCUUCAGGGGCUGCUGGAUGCACUCCAUCUGGAAGCAGAGGCCGAGGCCCCCUCCUCCUGGACUAGGGCUCACCUCGCCUCCUGACUGUAUUCUGUCUGUGUUCUUCUCCAGUCCCACCCUCUUUUCUCUUUGUCCAAAUGGCAGACUCCCUUUAAGCAAGAAUUCAUGGCGUCUCCACAUUCAGCCCUCAAGAAACUUUUAUUGAGUUGAACUAAAACCAGGCGUGUCUUAAGUGUUCAUGGCUGAUAAUGCAGGAUCCUUCAACGCUGGAAAUGCCCAGAUGAAACUUCGUGAUGAUCAACCUCACCUCACAUUUGCUUCAUUCAGUCUGUGGACCAGCAAGGAUUUUCUGUGACACAUUCAGGUUCUUACUCAUUUACAGAGUCACAGAUCUGUCAGCCUGGGAACUGGCACCCAAAUGGAAGACCCAUGCAGUUCUGAUGGGUCCAUCUGCAAGGGGAGUCACAGAAGUGUGUGAUGAGGAGAGGAAGAGAUACAACAGAUGUCUCAUGAGAAGCAGAGGGAGGACCUCAGGGACUGCCUGGCCCAGUCCCUCACUAGGUAUAAGAAACAAACUCACCCAUCCAAACCCGAAGAAUGGACUCAGAGACCCAGAGAACAGCGAAAUUGAAAAAUGGAGACAUCAAGUUCCCUAGUCACAGAGCAGCUGUGAUGGGACCCAAGUAAACAGCCCUGAUCAGAAGUGAAGAGCAACAUGUGGUACACAGGGCCUCCUCCACAAGCAACAGUCGCUGCUUGCUGUUACUGUGGGUUCCACGUUGGGAUCAGACACACCUGUCUUCAGUGGCAUGCAGUUGCAGCAAGGACCAAAUGGUCUAUUCUAAAAGAAAACAUUACAGGCAGGCAGUAGCAGACCACUGUGCUUGCAGCCCUCAUGAGAAGGCUCAGAAGACACAGGUGCUGCCCUGGGUGUGAAUUUCACGUCUAUGCUGGCUCCUCGCAGUGGCCCUUGGCAUCGGUUGGGAUCUUGCAGCAAGAUUCUUCAUCAGUUUCUCCAUCUCUGAAGACUUCUUGCCAACAGCUGUACACAGGUUUGUUCUAAUUCCCCUAAUUAGAAAUACAUGCUAAUAAAUAUCAUGUCUUUGGUAUUAAGUGGCAAUUAGAUGAAACAACCUGAAAUUCUGCUUUGUGAUACCAAGAUUGAACUUUGCUGAGAUUACUGUUUCACUGACCAAA
rnacentral:lncRNA from 1 species